rnacentral:lncRNA from 1 species
GGGGCCGCUCCUGGGGAGUUUUUCCCAGCUUCCCUGGGCCGGUGAGGGGUCCUGGCGUCCUGAACUGGAGAUGCUCCUUAGAGGGCACUGCUUCAGCCACCCCUGCCUUAGCAUACAUACGGGUCCCACAGGGGUCCUUCGACACCAGCUCAUCGUCUGGGUUCCACCAUCCACCCACGCACUCAUUUGGCAGCUAUCAACGGAGUAUUCACAGUACGCUGCUCACAGUUCUAACCGCGGAGGAUAGAGUUGAGGCCCACACGACAGCCCCUGCUCUCACAGAACUGAUGUCUCUAGAAGAGUCUUCCCUCAGUGAGAACGUUCUGAUUUCUAGAACAUUCUUUCUUCUGAUGAGUGAACAGCCUCACCGGAACUUCCCCAUCCUCCUGGCUUGGUUCCUGAAGUGGCCCAAGGCUGCCUUCUCCCUCCCGUGGGUGAACAGGGUCACUGCUUCCUCUCUUGUCCAGGCCCCCUGGCCUGACCCUGAGUCCCGGGCGUAACGGCGUUGUUGAACCACCACAACCCCAGGCGGCGCCUUCCUCUUGGCCCAGGGGCUCUCUUGGGGACAGUGUGCAGUACUCCCCAAGGGGGCUUUGCUGUGCAAAAGCAGCCCCUGCCGAUGCUGCGGCUCCCGUGGAUGGAGCACUGCCGUGGGAACAGAGUUGGAACUCAUCCAAAAGAAUAAAAGACAACUGUGUUGGAAGAUUGCCAAGGUUUGUAGCUGUGCCACCGCAGACUUCAGAGAUGAACACUGCCUUGGAGACGAGGAGGAUUCAAGUUGCAGAAGCAUUUAGGUAAAGCCACUGGAAGUCACUUUGA